AGGGUUCGAUUCUGGCUCAGGAUGAACGCUAGCGACAGGCUAACACAUGCAAGUCGAGGGGCAGCAUAAAAGUAGCAAUACUUGGUGGCGACCGGCGCACGGGUGAGUAACGCGUAUGCAACCUACCUAUCGGAGGGGAAUAACCCGGCGAAAGUCGGACUAAUACCGCAUAAAACAGGGGCACCGCAUGGUGAUAUUUGUUAAAGAAAUUCGCUGAUAGAUGGGCAUGCGUUCCAUUAGGUAGUUGGUGAGGUAACGGCUCACCAAGCCGACGAUGGAUAGGGGAACUGAGAGGUUGGUCCCCCACACUGGUACUGAGACACGGACCAGACUCCUACGGGAGGCAGCAGUGAGGAAUAUUGGUCAAUGGGCGAGAGCCUGAACCAGCCAAGUCGCGUGAAGGAAGAAGGAUCUAUGGUUCGUAAACUUCUUUUGCAGGGGAAUAAAGUGCAGGACGUGUCCUGUUUUGUAUGUACCCUGAGAAUAAGGAUCGGCUAACUCCGUGCCAGCCGCAGC
rnacentral:rRNA from 1 species